AGUCCUUCCAAUUUACGGCGGCGCAUCUCUAUAAUCCUCCUCCUACCUUCCUCCAAUAGCCGCCACCACCAAUAUUGUCUUCAGUACCACCACCAUCAGCACUGAUUCAGUCAAUGGGUUAUAAAUGGUAUAUGGUUUUCGACAGAGGGAGGCUGAUUCUGAUUUUGAUAUGAUUUGGUAUGAGCUUGGAUUUUCAUAAAAUGGUACUUGUAAGGAUGGUAAUCCAGUAAUCCAGUUUCAUGGAAGGAUAUAUGACUAACUUUUGUAGAACAUCAUUCUCAAACAUCCAUAGAGAACUGGACGACAGGUAUAUCAACCCAAAAUUUUCUAUGAUCACUACUCCUCUACUUAGUUUCUAUCUCAGAAAACGAAUUCCUGUUCCAGAAGUAUAAGAGAGGAGUUCUUAUGUCAUCAAAAGCAUUUAUGCGUAAAACCAUAGAAUGCAAUAGCUUCAAAAUACCUUACAUGUGAUGCCCUGAGAAGGCAAGUGACGUGAUUAGAUCAAUUUUUAGUUGAAAAGGCUGAAAGACAAUGCUUGUGAUGCUAAUGACAUAAUGGAUGGAUUCUCCUAUGAAACCUCUAUAUCAAUAAAAACAGCUUGAAGACUUGAAGUAUAUGUGAUUUUGCCUCAUCCUGCAAUUUCGUUUCAACCUCACAUGAACACACGGCACUCAUGCUUGUGAUUGGCGUUGUGAUUUCUCCUCUAAUUUUCAUUAAUUUUUGUUUGGAGUUCCAUCUUACUCACUAACUCAUGGAUACCUGCCAAACCAUGACUUCUAUGCAAAGAGUUUUACAUUUGCAUCAGGGAGUCCUUCACAUGAUUCUGCAACCGUCUUCAUGCAUCUUAUGUUGAUAAACAUAUGUAUGCUGAUUAACUUAAAAUUUGCUUUUUUUUUUCUUUUCGAGAAUAUGCAUAAUGUUAUCGGUUUUGAUAGAAUGCUUAAUCAAUGGAACCUCAAUUUUGUGUGAGCACGUUGAAUAAACUCAGAUUUUUGAUAUUUG